AAAAAAAAAGCUGGCCAAAUCGGGUCUUCUCCCAGGAGACAUCAUGUUACUUCAUAGAUGCUACAGUGAGACCGCGAAACCGGGCUGGCUCAUCUCCGCGCAAACCGGCCGAGGUUAC